GGAAUAUUGGACAAUGGGGGAAACCCUGAUCCAGCAAUGCCGCGUGUGUGAAGAAGGCCUGCGGGUUGUAAAGCACUUUUAUCGGGAAAGAAACAGCUGGGGGCUAAUACCCUCCAGCCUUGACGGUACCCGUUGAAUAAGCACCGGCUAACUCCGUGCCAACAGCCGCGGUAAUACGGAGGGUGCAAGCGUUAAUCGGAAUUACUGGGCGUAAAUCUAGUGUAGGCGGCUGCAUAAGUCGGAUGUGAAAGCCCCGGGCUUAACCUGGGAAUUGCAUUCGAUACUGUGCAGCUAGAGUCUGAUAGAGGGAAGUGGAAUUCCAGGUGUAGCGGUGAAAUGCGUAGAUAUCUGGAAGAACACCAGUGGCGAAGGCGGCUUCCUGGAUCAAGACUGACGCUGAGGCUCGAAAGCGUGGGGAGCAAAC
rnacentral:rRNA from 1 species